UACGUAGGGUGCAAGCGUUAUCCGGAAUUAUUGGGCGUAAAGAGCUCGUAGGCGGUUUGUCGCGUCUGCCGUGAAAGUCCGGGGCUCAACUCCGGAUCUGCGGUGGGUACGGGCAGACUAGAGUGAUGUAGGGGAGACUGGAAUUCCUGGUGUAGCGGUGAAAUGCGCAGAUAUCAGGAGGAACACCGAUGGCGAAGGCGGCCUGCCUGGACAGCACCUGACACUGAGGAGCGAAAGUGUGGGGAGCGAACAGG
rnacentral:rRNA from 1 species